GCCGCUGCAGGAGAGCCAGCCUGUUUAAACAGGCCAUAAAAAUGAAUCAUUACCCAACGCGUGGAGGGACUCGGCCCCCUUUAAGCUAAGGAAACCCGUACGAAAAUGUAAGUGGUCUUGUAUUUGUGACACAAUUGGACUCCUUAAUGUUCGUCCCAUUCACGCCACGGUGAUUUAUGAGGUCCUGGAAGCAAACAUG
rnacentral:lncRNA from 1 species